rnacentral:rRNA from 1 species
UAGGGAAUCUUCGGCAAUGGGGGGAACCCUGACCGAGCAACGCCGCGUGAGUGAAGAAGGUUUUCGGAUCGUAAAGCUCUGUUGUUAAGGAAGAACGAGUGUGAGAAUGGAAAGUUCAUACUGUGACGGUACUUAACCAGAAAGGGACGGCUAACUACGUGCCAGCAGCCGCGGUAAUACGUAGGUCCCGAGCGUUGUCCGGAUUUAUUGGGCGUAAAGCGAGCGCAGGCGGUUAGAUAAGUCUGAAGUUAAAGGCAGUGGCUCAACCAUUGUAGGCUUUGGAAACUGUUUAACUUGAGUGCAGAAGGGGAGAGUGGAAUUCCAUGUGUAGGUGAAAUGCGUAGAUAUAUGGAGGAACACCGGUGGCGAAAGCGGCUCUCUGGUCUGUAACUGACGCUGAGGCUCGAAAGCGUGGGGAGCGAACAGG